CACCGCGGUUAUACGAGUAACCCUUAUUAAUAUUUUUUCGGCGUAAAGAGUGGUUUAAGAAAAAUCCUUUAAAUAAUUAAAGUUAAGACCUCAUCAAGCUGUUAUACGCUCCCAUGAUUGGAAUAAUCGACAACGAAAGUGACUUUAUAAUAUUAGAAAUCUUGAUGCCACGACAGUUGGGCCC
rnacentral:rRNA from 1 species